UGGGGAAUCUUGCGCAAUGGGCGAAAGCCUGACGCAGCGACGCCGCGUGAGGGAAGAAGGCCUUCGGGUUGUAAACCUCUUUCAGGAGGGACGAAGCCACUCGGGUUAAUAGCCCAGAGGGUGACGGUACCUCCAGAAGAAGCCCCGGCUAACUACGUGCCAGCAGCCGCGGUAAUACGUAGGGGGCAAGCGUUGUCCGGAUUUAUUGGGCGUAAAGAGCGUGUAGGCGGCCAGGUAGGUCUGCUGUGAAAACUCGAGGCUUAACCUCGAGCUGUCGGCGGAAACCAUCUGGCUAGAGUCCGGAAGAGGAGAAUGGAAUUCCCGGUGUAGCGGUGAAAUGCGCAGAUAUCGGGAAGAACACCCGUGGCGAAGGCGGUUCUCUGGGACGGUACUGACGCUGAGACGGGAAAGCGUGGGGAGCGAACAGG
rnacentral:rRNA from 1 species